rnacentral:rRNA from 1 species
ACGAGCUGAGGCCUUUGGGUCACCUCCCACCCGUGUUUAUUUUACCUUGUUGCUUCGGCGGGCCCGCCUUUACUGGCCGCCGGGGGGCUCACGCCCCCGGGCCCGCGCCCGCCGAAGACACCCCCGAACUCUGUCUGAAGAUUGAAGUCUGAGUGAAAAUAUAAAUUAUUUAAAACUUUCAACAACGGAUCUCUUGGUUCCGGCAUCGAUGAAGAACGCAGCGAAAUGCGAUACGUAAUGUGAAUUGCAAAUUCAGUGAAUCAUCGAGUCUUUGAACGCACAUUGCGCCCCCUGGUAUUCCGGGGGGCAUGCCUGUCCGAGCGUCAUUGCUGCCCUCAAGCCCGGCUUGUGUGUUGGGCCCCGUCCUCCGAUUCCGGGGGACGGGCCCGAAAGGCAGCGGCGGCACCGCGUCCGGUCCUCGAGCGUAUGGGGCUUUGUCACCCGCUCUGUAGGCCCGGCCGGCGCUUGCCGAUCAACCCAAAUUUUUAUCCAGGUUGACCUCGGAUCAGGUAGGGAUACCCGCUGAACUUAAGCAUAUCA